CAGUCGUCUAGUGGUUAGGACAACAGCAGCGCGCGGUCAAGCCCUUACACGGCGUAGGUCCCAGGUUCGAAUCCUGGCUGGCCCA
rfam:Thaumarchaeota archaeon RBG_16_49_8 RBG_16_scaffold_8540, whole genome shotgun sequence.